rnacentral:rRNA from 1 species
CCUGGCGGCACUAGCGCGGUGGUCCCACCUGACCCCAUGCCGAACUCAGAAGUGAAACGCCGUAGCGCCGAUGGUAGUGUGGGGUCUCCCCAUGUGAGAGUAGGAAACUGCCAGGC